UACGAAGGGGGCUAGCGUUGCUCGGAAUCACUGGGCGUAAAGCGCACGUAGGCGGAUUGCUAAGUCAGGGGUGAAAUCCUGGAGCUCAACUCCAGAACUGCCUUUGAUACUGGCGAUCUUGAGUCCGGGAGAGGUGAGUGGAACUGCGAGUGUAGAGGUGAAAUUCGUAGAUAUUCGCAAGAACACCAGUGGCGAAGGCGGCUCACUGGCCCGGUACUGACGCUGAGGUGCGAAAGCGUGGGAGCAACAG
rnacentral:rRNA from 1 species